UAAUAAGAAGACUAGAAAAGGUAAAGUUCGUGAACGAACUUUAAGUUGGCUUGGAAAAGAACGCUAAUAACGUUAAAAACUUAAAAUGGUUGCUAAGCUUUUUCCGUCUGAAGAGUGUGAAGAGUCAUUGAUAUGCUGUUAACUUUUGGCUAAACGCUAAAUGCUAAAAACGCUGAAAUCUAAAAACAUUUGGUUAAACGCUGAAAUCUAAAAACAUUUGGUUAAAUGUUGAAAUCUAAAAACGUUUGGUUAAACGCUGAAAUCUAAAAACGUUUGGUUAAACGCUGAAAUCUAAAAACGUUUGAUUAAACACUGAAAUCCAAAAACGCUUGUUUAAAUGCUGAAAUCGUAAAACAUUUGGUUAAACUUUUGAUUGCUAAUGUGUUGCUAGGCAGUUGCUAUCAUUUCUGAAAAGGUUGCUAAGCUGUUGCUAGGCAGUUGCUAAUGUUUUCCAGGUGGUUGCUAAGCUAUUGCUAACUGGAUGCUAGGCAAUUGCUAACAUAUACCAGGUAGUUGCUAAGGUGUUGCUAGGUGGUUGCUAGGGUGUUGCUAGGUUGUUGCUAAGGUGUUGCUAUGGUAUCUGGGGUGGUUGCUAAGAUGUUGCUACGUGGUUGCUAGGGUGUUGCUAUGGUAUCCGGGGUGGUUGCUAAGGUGUCGCUAGGUGGUUGCUAGGGUGUUGCUAGGUGGUUGCUAAGGUGUUGCUAUGGUAUCCGGGGUGGUUGCUAAGAUGUUGCUAGGUGGUUGCUAAGGUGUUUCUAUGGUAUCUAGGGUGGUUGCUAAGGUGUUUCUAGGUGGUUGCUAGGUGGUUGCUAAGGUGUUGCUAUGGUAUCCGGGGUGGUUGCUAAGAUGUUGCUAGGUGGUUGCUAAGGUGUUGCUAUGGUAUCUGGGGUGGUUGCUAAGAUGUUGCUAGGUGGUUGCUAAGGUGUUUCUAUGGUAUCUAGGGUGGUUGCUAAGGUGUUUCUAGGUGGUUGCUAAGGUGUUGCUAUGGUAUCCGGGGUGGUUGCUAAGAUGUUGCUAGGUGGUUGCUAAGGUGUUGCUAUGCGGUUGCUAAGGUGUUGCUAUGGUAUCUGGGGUGG